GCCUUCGUAGUGUAGUGGUCAGUACGCUCGGCACGUAUUCGAGAGAUCCGUGGUUCAAGUCCCGGCGAGAGGA
rfam:Stegodyphus mimosarum contig73556, whole genome shotgun sequence.